GGAAAAAGGAAAAGAAUAAGGGAAAAAGAAGAGGAAAGGAGGAAGUAACGAGGCGAUUGGAAACGUCUAUCAGCCUAUCUAGCUUGUAGCUCAUACCUUAAAGUACCCAGGUGAUUUUAUCCCAGUCUGCACUGAUGUGAAUGUGUUUCCACAGUGUAUGACUACUUACAGUGAUUUUACCCGCUCUGCACUAUUGUGAAUGUGUUUCCAUAGUGUAUGACCAGAUUAUCAGAGGUCUUUGGGACCCACUCUCGUACACACAUAGGCUUUGGGUCGUGUACUAGGGUGAUUAGCCUUUGGGGCAGCUCUGCGUACGUAUGACCAGAUUAUCAGCUAUCAGAUUAUUAGAUUUGAAUGUCUUUGCCUUGUACAUCGAGAUUACUCUGUACAUGAGUAAGGCUAUUCAUUGGGUACUCUUUUUGGUGUGAUUUUUCAGUAAUUAUUCUAUUAUCAGAUUUCAGAUUAUGGAAUUCAGUUAAUUCAGUUUUCAGAAUAAAGCUUUCAGCUUAUAGUAUUAAGGCGGCAAUAUUUCAUAAUUUUUCAUGGAUAUCAGAGUAUUUAUAGUCAUUAUGUUAUACAGUUGCCUUUCUAGAAUUAUGUCCAAGAAAUUAUGAUAUGAUCAUGUUUAGUUUUUUAAAAGUGUUACUAUUCUUUUUAGAAGUUCUUAACGUUAAAUAGUGCAAGAAUUUUCAGAAAAUAGCAUAAAUGGAAAAGUUUAUUUAUUUUCAACUAUCCACUCACUGAGUUAUAAACUCAUAUCUUUUUACCAUGUUUUCCUAUCAGGAGAAGGUCGAUUUUGAGAUAUUUGGGAAAGCCUGCUGAAGUAAAAGAGACCGUUUCAUAAGUAUGUAACGAAUAGUUGGAGAACUUAUGUUUAUUAAGUAAUUGUCUAAUUUUGGGUGACAAGCAUAUUUGUAGAAGGGUUUGUAAGUGAUGUAAUACUUGCAUGUUGACAUGAUGAUGUUGUAGAAACACUCAGUCGAAUUUUGUUAUAUUCUGUAGUAGUUGUAGUGGUAUUAGAGGAAGUGGUGGUUUCCAAAACUUUUGAUUUAAAUGUCUAUUUGAGAUUUUGAUGAUUUUUCA